AUGCUCCGAGAUGAAAACAUUCUUACUUCUCAAUCCAAAGAAGGAAGAUCAAAGCUCUACUUACUUGUACCCGCCAGGCUUCACGUACCGCGCUCUCGCCAAUUAUGCAAGUCCACCGUAGCAGCUGAGAGAGUUCUCUUGCCGCGUGCUCAACAUUACACCGGUACGCCAAUAAGGAGGAGAGAGGGAGAAAUAGUAUGGGUUUCUCUGACGCUGUGCAAUGGUGGGAUGAGUGGCAGCCCUGCGGAGAUUGUUCUUCACCAACACCGUCAUCACGCCGUCGUGCUGCCGGAACUCAUCUACUACAUCGCCGUCUUGCUGGAUCAAGAAGGCGAGGACGUCAUCAAGCUGAACGUGUGCUGA
rnacentral:rRNA from 1 species